GGGUGGCACCUUGUACUCAAGGAAGCAUGACAUUGCUGUACCAUCACCUUCCCAAAAAGCCUGGAAUGUACCUUUUCCCAGGAAGGAAAGGACUUCUUUCUGGUUUAUCACCAGCAGCAUAACGAGGCCUCAUUUAGAAACUUCGAUUCAACUGAAGAAAAAUCCAGUCAUUUUUUGAAGUGAGAAGAUUUGUGAAGAUUAUGCCUGCAAAGAACCGUGAAGGCAAGCAGGAACUCAGCGACAUCUGGUGAUCCCGAGGUGAUCACAGCACUUGGACUACAAGGCUGGUGGGUAGAGCCGCAGAGACGGAGCCCAACAUCCCAGAGAGCGGCGGGUAGAGCUGCCGGAGGUGGCUUUGGAAGAGACACCUGGAUGAGAUUUCCCUCUGCCAUUCUGCUCCCCUGAGAACGGCACAACAAGCUGCUGUGUGUUGAGGUGCAGAUAAUGAGAAGAGUACAUUUUCCUGCAAUUUCUUCCCAGCGUGUCAGCUGCCUUGUUUUAUUCAGCAGAGCUGCAGCAGUUACACACGGAGGACCUCAGCUGCUUGCAGAGCAACCUACAGACCGUGCAUCCGCGAGCAGGAAUGGAAGGAAGGAAGCAGGGGUGGAAGAGCUCCUCUUUUAGUGGCAAAGAGCUGUCACGCCUGGUCGGUGUGCUGUUGAAUCAUAUCCUAAGGCCAUCACAACUACCGUUUCCUCCACAGUGUCACUCCUGCAGCAGUUAGCUUUGAUUGUCCCACUGCACCAUUGCUAGCGUGGCUUUUAUCCAAAGACAACUGUGUAAAGAUAGAAAAAUGAGAAAGGGUUUGGGAGUUUUUAAGCUGGCAGAACAUAGUGUGCUGACUCUUGCACUUGUGUAGAUACGCAGAGCUCUGGAGCUCUGAAAAGCUCAGGCACCAGCCAGCAGAACGACCAACCAAAGGUCUAAGCCACAAGCUGGACAGACUCGAAAGAUAAAUUCUAGUUUAAUUUUAAGACUGAGAAAAGAAAGCAGGGACAGAAAAAAUCACUGGGACCGGUGCAACAAACCACUAACCUUUAAGAUAGUGCUCAAGAAAAUAUUAAACUCACCUACUAUGAAAGCGUGGAUAUAUCUGCUAGUACUUUGAAUAGCAGGGAUGAAGGUGUUGGAGUUACACUGCUGUCUUUGUUUACUGGUGAAGAUGACACGGUGAAGAAAAUCAGGAAACAUAUUACAGAACUAAACGGAAAAGGGAGCUCAGCUCCAGGCUUCAAGCAGGUGCAUGAUCCAGGGAUGAGCCAGACAAGGAGAACUUGGGGCUGGCAGGAGUUUGAAACAAUGAAUGUCCAGGAAAAUAGGACUUUGUAAGCAAACACCUGUCAUCAUCAGAGAAGUUCUGCUAUUAGUUUUAAAAGAAUAUCCACAGGAUUCCAUUUCUGGACAAGAAAGGAGGAUUUGGGGCCAUGCUGGGUACAAUAAUAAUAGUUCCUGGCAUUGGCAAGCUGGAAGGAAAGUGAUGAUUGAAGUUCUGCUGUGUCAUCAGGCAAAGGUGAUCUUCAGUCUAACAUAGUGGCGUGUAAAUUUAAAGAAACCCAGCAAAACAGGUAUCAUUUUUCCUGUGGUUAUUAAUUUGAUGAUUUGUUAAUUUUUAUAUAAAGCACAAAAAGUAUGCACUCAUGAGGGAUAGACCACUAAAGAAAUGGGUAAAAAUCUGGUACCAUUUAAGUUUGUCAGGAGUCAGAUCCACUCCCAUUUUCUGCCUAUCUUGUGCAAAGUUCUUUGAAAGAAGUUUUCUAUUGAAAACAGAAAUUAAACGUAUGAAAAGAGCCCAGUGCCCCAACAAGAGUGAGAGCAUCCACAUGUCAGAAAACAUCCUGCUCUUGCAGAAUUGCCUCUUAUUUUCAGCCUACACCAAAUUUCUACACCUCAACAGCCAAAGUAGCUCAAUAAUACAGGAGCUGACUGUGUGCCCAGAAUAUUGAGCUUGCUUUUUAAAUUACAAACCAGAGCUCAUUAGCACUGCUCUGGGAGCAACCAAGAAAUGGCCUUCUCCAAUCCCCCCAAGCUGUACUGUUGGUUAUUCCUAUAUAUCAACAUGGUUGGGUUUUCCUGGCCUACACAUGGAUAGAGAUGGAAUCUGUGGGCUAAACUACGAAGGAGGAGCCUGGUGAUCCCAAACUGACCACAUCUAAACUACCCUCUUGGCCCAUAACUACAGUUUCAGGAUGAGCUGCUUGGUGUUUCAUGGUUGACCAGGUGGUUCUUGUACUACUGCUGGCCCUUUGCUUCUGAGAGCCCACACGGAUUGCAGAAGCAACCCGAGGGAAGCGCGGCGUUCGUUCCGCAAUAGGUGAUGAGUAACUCCCACAAGACUCCUCUUCUGUUUCUUGAAAUAGAACAUGAAAGUUACUAGGUCCUUAAUGUGGUAAUUUAACUUGAGGCUUAAAACGCUG